AGGUACUAUCGCAUGGUGACGAAAGGUCGUAUAUGUUUCUGUAUCGCCCUGGUGUGGAUAUUGUCCACGCUCUACGCGACCAUUCAGCUGUCCUGGUUCAAUCUUGGCCAUCACAAUAUCUCCAACAUCGGCGACGCGAUCAAAUAUACAAAAACUUACGACAUCACUGGCCUCGUCGUCUUUUUCAUUGUACCACUAUGCGUGAUGACGUUUUGCUUUUGUCGUAUGUUUCUCGUCAUUCGCAGACAGGUUCGAAACAUUCGGAGACAAGCGGAAUUGUCUGCCGAUCCUCGGAAUCGCUCGAUCGCUUCCGACAAACGCGCGCUGAUAAUAUUCGCAUUGAUGUUGGGAAUUUUCACCGUGUGCUGGUUGUCAUGGUAUAUCACGUUAUUCCAAGUAGAGCUGGGCCCAGGUGCAAUCCUACCAGAAACAUUUGCAGAUAUUCUAGACUUCUUGAGAUUUGGAACGAGUCUAUUUAAUCCAAUGUUAUACACGUUUCUUAAAAAUGACUUUCGCCGCGCUGUGUCGUCGCUCCUGUCCAGAUGCUGUAUCAAGUAUCCGAUAUUUAAACCAAAACAAAACCCGAACGUUUCAAGAAUAACUUUAACCACAGACGCUAACGGCAAUAAGAGCACGACGCUACUUAACGGGCUCUCCUCCCCAGGCUAUGAACGCCACGACGAAUUUGUGUAUAAGAAUUCGCAAGAUCAUCUUGUUAAAGAAACGGAGAAUGUCCAACUUAUUACAUAUGUGUAAAGAAACAGCUUCGUGAGCAUUGAAAAAUGUGUUCAAAUGAGUAACAUCUAGAUUUCAGUUCUCAGCUUGUACAAUUCUAGCUAUUUGUCAGCAAGACACAGUCCUGUCAGCUGUCAGUUAUUUUAUAAGAUUUGAGAUAUCUUUUUCAGGUAGUUCAGACACAAACCACGACAGCUUAUAGUCAAGAAUACUACCUACACUGGACAGUGCAUUUUUUAAGGAUUCUUCAGUGGUGGGGCAAAACUGCCAAAGGACCCAUUUUCUCCUUGCCCUCCCUCCAGGAUAGUAUGCAAUCGCCAAAGGUGUGAGCAGAGUACCGCAGGCACGAAUUUAAAAUUUGAGUCUCUGAUAUAACAUUUCCUGCAUUCUGAGGAACAUUUUUAAAAAAGUCUCAGCUUCUCAAAACAAAGUUUUAAUGGUGAAAUUUGUAAUAAAUUGUAUGCUAAACAUUCAAACACAACAUAUGUUUAAGUAUAAUCACCAACAAAUUUUGUUUUUCAAACUUCUUUUCAAUGUUAAACUCAUUUACUCAGUACAGAUCUUAGGGCCCUGGCUUGGGGCAAUAGGCCAUUUUUUUCUUCAGUGGUGGGGCAGAGGAAGGGGCCAAGUGGGGAUAAAGGCCCCACCAGUCCAUGGUAUUAAAAAAUGCCUUGACACUGGACCACCAAGUUUGAAAUACCUUUUUCAGGAAGUUCAGACACAAACCACGACAGUUUGCUGUUACGAAGUGUGUCUAGGUUUUCACUUUGUGUGUGUGUGUGUGUGUGAAUAGUGUGAUAACCUAGUAAUGUCAGGAUAUGAAAGAUAUAAUGUAUAUAUAGCCUUGUAUAUAUAGAUUUUAGAAUGAAAAUAUUGUAUUAUUCCAGAUGUUACGUUAUCAUUAUUGAAUUUAAAUUAAUGAACAAUUUUGAAG
rnacentral:lncRNA from 1 species